rnacentral:lncRNA from 1 species
UGAGAUAACCCUGUUCAUGGUGGCUCUUUGGAUGGCUCUCUUUUCGAAGGAAUUACAAGACUGAAGGUUGUGCGGAAGUUGAUCAAACCGUGUUUCAUGCUGCCCGUAGUUCUCCAUGUUCCAAUGAUGUUAUGAUGUGCUUGUUUACUCUUCCUGCAGCCGGUGCCUCUAAAAUCUAGUUAGAGGCCUGACAUUUGUUGCAGCUGUUGUUAUUUUUUACUUUUGGUCUGGUUAUUGAACUGACACUCUUCCUUCGCUCGUAGUUUAUAACCUGUAGUAGUAUGAUUUAACUGUGAUGGAUUCUGGAUGGGAUCUGCCUACCUCAACUUGUUUGAGACUAAAGGCUUUGUUGUUGUUGUUGUUGUUGUGCACAUCAUCAUUUUUGUGUGGCUCAUUGUGCAUGUCAUUGAUGGUACAAACAAUUCAUGUGUGAGAUCACUAUUGAUGGAGUAGCACCCUGCACAACCAAACCAUGUGGGUUUUUCAUUUUACUGUAAUCACAUUUUCUCCAAGUUCUUCAAAAAAGUUUGGGGGACAGCGUUCAUGAAAUUUAGUAACUCGGUAGAAUCUGGGAAACACUGGUACCUCAUGAGUACGAUAAACCUGGUGAGGAAAAAUAUUAUGUGUCGAUUCAUGACAUUUUUUUUCACUCUUUUGUUUUGCCUAGCAGAGAAUCUGUAUGCUGUUGUGAGCCUGCAAAUGUUGAAUUCUGAGGACUGUGAAUCUGUGAUGUCUUCGCACUUAAAAAAAAAACCUUUUUCUAAUUCUCUAGGUUCUGUUUCUCCUUCGCCAGGACAUUCCUGAAAGAAAUGCCUGUGUUACAAUGCUGUCAUG